rnacentral:siRNA from 1 species
GAACCUGAGGCAGAGGCGAUGGA